UAGAUAGACAGCCUCUCGUGAUGAUGCUCAGCUCCCUGAAUGGCUGAUUUGAUGAGCUCACGUAACCCUCUAAGAAGUUGACUGAAGAGGCUGAUCAGAA